rnacentral:rRNA from 1 species
CAGCCGCCGCGGUAAUACGUAGGUGGCAAGCGUUGUCCGGAAUUAUUGGGCGUAAAGGGCUCGCAGGCGGUUUCUUAAGUCUGAUGUGAAAGCCCCCGGCUCAACCGGGGAGGGUCAUUGGAAACUGGGAAACUUGAGUGCAGAAGAGGAGAGUGGAAUUCCACGUGUAGCGGUGAAAUGCGUAGAGAUGUGGAGGAACACCAGUGGCGAGGGCGACUCUCUGGUCUGUAACUGACGCUGAGGAGCGAAAGCGUGGGGAGCGAACAGGAUUAGAUACCCCCGUAGUCCCUGUCUCUUAUAC